CUGGAUGUCCUGGAACUCAUUGUGUA
rnacentral:piRNA from 1 species